GAUGAACGCUGGCGGCGUGCCUAAUACAUGCAAGUCGAGCGAACGGGCGAGAAGCUUGCUUCUCUGAUGUUAGCGGCGGACGGGUGAGUAACACGUGGAUAACCUCCCUAUAAGACUGGGAUAACUUCGGGAAACCGUCGCUAAUACCGGAUAAUAUUUUGAACCGCAUGGUUCAAAAGUGAAAGACGGUCUUGCUGUCACUUCUAGCUGGAUCCGCGCUGCAUUAGCUAGUUGGUAAGGUAACGGCUUACCAAGGCGACGAUGCAUAGCCGACCUGAGAGAGUGGUCGGCCGCACGGGAGCGGGGACGGGGUCCAUGCGCCUACGGGAGGCAGCAGUAGGGAAUCUGCCGCAAUGGGCGAGAGCCUUACGGAGCAACGCCGCGUGAGUGAUGAAGGUCUUCGGUUCGGAAUACUCGGUUAUUAGUGAAGAACAGAUGUGUAAGGAACUGAGCACAGCGUGACGGUACCGAAUCAGAAAGCCCCGGCUAACCACGUG
rnacentral:rRNA from 1 species